CCUACGGGUGGCAGCAGUGGGGGAUAUUGCACAAUGGGGGGAACCCUGAUGCAGCGACGCCGCGUGGGUGAAGAAGCGCCUCGGCGCGUAAAGCCCUGUCAGCAGGGAAGAAAAUGACGGUACCUGAAGAAGAAGCCACGGCUAACUCCGUGCCAGCAGCCGCGGUAAUACGUAGGGGGCAAGCGUUAUCCGGAUUUACUGGGUGUAAAGGGGGCGCAGACGGCGGUGCAAGCCAGGAGUGAAAGCCCGGGGCGCAACCCCGGGACUGCUCUUGGAACUGCGGGGCUGGAGUGCAGGAGGGGCAGGCGGAAUGCCUGGUGUAGCGGUGAAAUGCGUAGAGAUCAGGAGGAACACCGGCGGCGAAGGCGGCCUGCUGGACCGCGACUGACGUUGAGGCUCGAAAGCGUGGGGAGCGAACAGGAUUAGAUACCCCAGUAGUC
rnacentral:rRNA from 1 species